GGGAGCUCCAGCCAGGCCGGGGGAGGGGGCGGGGCGCAGCUCACCGUGACCGUCGGCGCCCCGAGGGUGGCGCGUCUGGCGCGUCUGCUCUCCCUGGGAGCCGUCCGGCGAGCAGGAGCUGGAGGUGCCCAGAGCUAAAAGUGAAACUGCAACCUGACGCAGGGCCCGCCCAGGACGCCCUCCCGGAACCGUCCCGGAGAGCCCGCCCCGGCCCCCUUCCUGCCCCCUCUUCCCGCCAGCCCGCCUGGAGCACCAGCCUCGCGCGUCCGGAGGAACCUUGGCUUGGCGCCCCAUCCUGGUAGCCUCAAACUUCAUAGCACUUUGUGGUUUUUCUUAAAACUCUGAGCCUGUGCCCGGGCGGAUCACCUGAGGUCGGGAGUUCAAGACCAGACUGACCAACAUGGUGAAACCCCGUCUCUACUAAAAAUACAAAAUUAGCCCGGCGUGGUGGCGCAUGCCUGUGAUCCCAGCUACCUGGGAGGCUGAGGCAAGAGAAUCGCUUGAACCUGGGAGGUGUAGGUUGCAGUGAGCCGAGAUCAUGCCAUUGUACUCCAGCCUGGGCGACAGAGUGAGACUCCGUCUCAAAAACAAACAAGCAAACAAACAACUUUGGGCCUGUGCCGAAGGGUCUGGGCAGAUCUUCCAAAGAUGUACAAAAUGUAGAAAUUGCCCUCAAGCAAAUGCAAAGAUGCUCAACACCCUUAGUCAUCAAGGAAAUGCAAAUGGAAUCCACAGAGAGAUACUGCACACUGACAAAGAUGGUCGUAUUACUAAAGGUGAAUAACCAGCGCGGGGGGCACGUGGAGUCACUGGAACAUUUGUGCAAUGCUGGUGGGAAUGUCAACCCGUGCGGCCCUCUGGAAUAAGCCUGGCAGCUCCUCCAAGAGUUACCGUGUGACCCAGCAAUUCCACUCCUAGCUCCACCCACAGGAAUUGAAAGCAAAGACGCAAACAGAUGCCUGUGCACCAAAGUUCACGGCAGCAUCCUUCGCCAUAGUGGCAGCAUCCGUCGUCACAGCGGCAUCAUCCUUCAUCAUAGCGGCAGCAUCCGUCGUCACAGCGGCAGCAUCCUUCGCCACAGCGGCAGCAGCUGUCGUCACAGCGGCAGCAUCCUUCGCCAAAGCGGCAGCAUCCUUCACCAUAGCGGCAGCAUCCUUCGCCAUAGCGGCAGCAUCCUUCGCCAUAGCGGCAAGGUGGAAACCCUGUCCAUCCACUGAGGCGUGCAUAGACUAAACAUGGCCAGUCCAGGCACUGGAAUCCAGGCCGUAGAACGGCGCCCACGGUCAAAAGGAAUGAGACCCUGAUGCACUGGGCGACACAGACGGGCGACACAGACUUGGAGACAUCAUGCUAAGUGAAAAGCCAGGCACACGGAGCGGACGGCGUGAUCCUGCUCACGUGAUGUGUCCCGAAUGGGCACGUCCAGAGGGAAGAAGGGAGAUGGCGCUGCCGGUGCCCGGGACGGGGGUUGGGAGCGACGGUUGCUGGUUUGGGGUUUCUUUCUGGGGUGAGGAAGUGUUUUGAUAUUGGCCGUUGGUGAUGUUUGCAUACCUCUGAAUAUGCUAAGACCCACAGAAUUGCACACUUUAAAUGGAUGAAUUGUAUGGUAUGGGAAUUACACAAUUAUGUCUCAUUAAAG
rnacentral:lncRNA from 1 species